UGAGUGCGAGCUGCUACGGCAGCGAAGUUGGUGAUGUCAUGCUUCCAAGAAAAGCCCUAUACCCGUUAAGGCAUCAUGGCCUGUACCCGAAACCGACACAGGUGGGGUGGUAGAGAAUACCGAGGGGCGCGAGGUAACUCUCUCUAAGGAACUCGGCAAAAUGGCCCCGUAACUUCGGGAGAAGGGGUGCCACCGCGAGGUGGUCGCAGUGAAGAGGCCCAGGCGACUGUUUACCAAAAACACAGGUCUCCGCUAAGUCGCAAGACGAUGUAUGGGGGCUGACGCCUGCCCAGUGCCGGAAGGUUAAGGAAGCUGGUCAGCGCAAGCGAAGCUAGCGACUGAAGCCCCGGUGAACGGCGGCCGUAACGAUAACGGUCCUAAGGUAGCGAAAUUCCUUGUCGGGUAAGUUCCGACCCGCACGAAAGGCGUAACGAUCUGGGCGCUGUCUCGGAGAGAGGCUCGGCGAAAUAGAAUUGUCUGUGAAGAUGCGGACUACGUGCACCCGGACAGAAAGACCCUAUGAAGCUUUACUGUAGCUUGGUAUUGUGCCCGGGCUCGCAAUGCGCAGGAUAGGUGGGAGGCUUUGAUCAUCGGCUUGCGGGUCGAUGUGAGCCAACGGUGAGAUACCACUCUUUGCGAGCUAGGGUUCUAACGGCCACCCGUCAUCCGGGGGCCGGACAGUACCUGGUGGGCAGUUUGACUGGGGCGGUCGCCUCCUAAAAGGUAACGGAGGCGCGCAAAGGUUUGCUCAGGCUGGUUGGAAAUCAGCCGACGAGUGUAAAAGCAGAAGCAAGCUUGACUGUGAGACCAACAAGUCGAACAGGGAGGAAACUCGGCUUUAGUGAUCCGACGGUUCUGAGUGGAAGGGCCGUCGCUCAACGGAUAAAAGUUACUCUAAGGAUAACAGGCUGAUCUCCCCCAAGAGUUCACAUCGACGGGGAGGUUUGGCACCUCGAUGUCGGCUCAUCGCAACCUGGGGCUGAAGUCGGUCCCAAGGGUUGGGCUGUUCGCCCAUUAAAGCGGUACGCGAGCUGGGUUCAGAACGUCGUGAGACAGUUCGGUCCAUAUCCGGUGCACGCGCAGGAAUAUUGAGAGGAUUUCUCCCUAGUACGAGAGGACCGGGAGGAACGCACCUCUGGUGUACCAGUUAUCGUGCCAACGGUAAACGCUGGGUAGCCAUGUGCGGAGUGGAUAACCGCUGAAAGCAUCUAAGUGGGAAGCCCACCUCAAGAUGAGUAUUCCCAUGGCGUAAGCCAGUAAGGUCACGGGAAGAACACCCGUUGAUAGGCUCUAUGUGGAAGCGCAGUAAUGCGUGAAGCAGAGGAGUACUAAUAGACCGAGGGCCUGACC
rnacentral:rRNA from 1 species